rnacentral:rRNA from 1 species
CCUCCUUUGUUCCUCCUUCGGGCAUCUUGCUCAAUGGGGGAAACCCUGAAGCAGCAACGCCGCGUGGAGGAUGAAGGUUUUAGGAUUGUAAACUCCUUUUGUGAGAGAAGAUAAUGACGGUAUCUCACGAAUAAGCACCGGCUAACUCCGUGCCAGCAGCCGCGGUAAUACGGAGGGUUCAAGCGUUACUCGGAAUCACUGGGCGUAAAGAGUGCGCAGGCGGGCUUGUACGUCAGAUGUGAAAUCCUGUAGCUUAACUACAGAACUGCAUUUGAAACUAUGAGUCUAGAGUGUGGGAGAGGUAGGUGGAAUUCUUGGUGUAGGGGUAAAAUCCGUAGAUAUCAAGAGGAAUACUCAUUGCGAAGGCGACCUACUGGAACAUUACUGACGCUCAUGCACGAAAGCGUGGGGAGCAAACAGGAUUAGAUACCCCUGUAGUC